UGGGGAAUUUUGGACGAUGGGGGCAACCCUGAUCCAGCCAUCCCGCGUGUGCGAUGAAGGCCUUCGGGUUGUAAAGCACUUUUGGCAGGGAAGAAACAGCCUGGGCUAAUAUCCCGGGCGACUGACGGUACCUGCAGAAUAAGCACCGGCUAACUACGUGCCAGCAGCCGCGGUAAUACGUAGGGUGCAAGCGUUAAUCGGAAUUACUGGGCGUAAAGCGUGCGCAGGCGGUUCGGAAAGAAAGGUGUGAAAUCCCAGGGCUUAACCUUGGAACUGCACUUUUAACUACCGGGCUAGAGUACGUCAGAGGGGGGUAGAAUUCCACGUGUAGCAGUGAAAUGCGUAGAGAUGUGGAGGAAUACCGAUGGCGAAGGCAGCCCCCUGGGAUGAUACUGACGCUCAUGCACGAAAGCGUGGGGAGCAAACA
rnacentral:rRNA from 1 species